AUUUGAAAUCUAGAGUCCCUGAAAUUGUACAUAAUUUCGAAGGUGUAAAUACAUGGAACACAUGAUUUUAAAUGACAAAAUCUAAGUGCAGCUAUACAUAAAACAAGAGUAAAGUAUACUGUAUAAUUUAUUCGAAGUGAAAGUCUGGUAUCCAGUAUUGAAAACUAUGUCAAUUAAAAGCCACGAUUCGAAGUGACAAGAGAAGCUAAUGAGGUUUUGCAAACUUAAUUAUUACCACUAAUUUUAGUGGGUGGGAUGUGACCCAGGGGUGGAUUUAUAGGGGGGUCAGGGUGCACAGGGGUGCGCACCCCUGUUGGCCUUGGUCAACAGGGGUGCAAGGGGGGUGCAAAAAAAAAUCAAAUUCAGAAAUAUGGCAUAAUUUCCAAGGUUUUUCCUUUUUUGAAGUCAAACUGAAGCUCAUAAUUCAAUGCCCAUAUCGCAGGAAAUGGCAUUUCUAGGGUUCUAAUUUCCAAAAUUUUCGAAAUUUGGUAUGGCAAAUUGAGGGAAAGUGACGCAAAAGCAUUUACAACGUAAC